CAUGUGGGUCCCAGGGGGUGUGGAACCCACCUGUCAUUGAAAGAAAUUCGAAGGCAAGUCUUAGAGGCUGUCAAGAAAGGUUGCCUACCAAGGAUCUUUGGAGGGGAUUGAAGGGAGGUUUCGUGGAGCAAGGAACCUAGUCUAGUGAUCCUCAUGGUCGGGGGUGAUGUGGAGACUAAACGUGCUGAAGUGGUUUGAGUUAGAAGUCUCUGGUUUAGGCUUGAUGGAGUGAUGAACAUGGGUUGAUAGUAUUGAUUAGUAGCAGUGGACAGUGUAGUUAGCAGCUG
rnacentral:lncRNA from 1 species